UAAGCGUUUCUGAAAGGAAACGUUGAACGGACAGAAGUCAGCAGAGGUCAUACUACCUG
rfam:Alicyclobacillus sp. TSBA-503 genome assembly, contig: Ga0105849_114